rnacentral:misc_RNA from 1 species
GAUGAAGAACGCAGCAAAAUGCGAUAAGUAAUGUGAAUUGCAGAAUUCAGUGAAUCAUCGAAUCUUUGAACGCACAUUGCGCCCCCUGGUAUUCCGGGGGGCAUGCCUGUUCGAGCGUCAUUUCACCACUCAAGCCUCGCUUGGUAUUGGGCAACGCGGUCCGCCGCGUGCCUCAAAUCGACCGGCUGGGUCUUCUGUCCCCUAAGCGUUGUGGAAACUAUUCGCUAAAGGGUGUUCGGGAGGCUACGCCGUAAAACAACCCCAUUUCUAAGGUUGACCUCGGAUCAGGUAGGGAUACCCGCUGAACUUAAGCAUAUCAAUAAGCGGAGGA